rnacentral:rRNA from 1 species
UAAGGAAUAUUGCGCAAUGGGCGACAGCCUGACGCAGCGACGCCGCGUGGGGGAUGAAGGUCUUCGGAUUGUAAACCCCUUUCGGCAGGGAAGAUGGAACGGGUAACCGUUCGGACGGUACCUGCAGAAGCAGCCACGGCUAACUUCGUGCCAGCAGCCGCGGUAAUACGAAGGUGGCAAGCGUUGUUCGGAUUUACUGGGCGUACAGGGAGCGUAGGCGGUUGGGUAAGCCCUCCGUGAAAUCUCCGGGCCUAACCCGGAAAGUGCGGAGGGGACUGCUCGGCUAGAGGAUGGGAGAGGAGCGCGGAAUUCCCGGUGUAGCGGUGAAAUGCGUAGAGAUCGGGAGGAAGGCCGGUGGCGAAGGCGGCGCUCUGGAACAUAUCUGACGCUGAGGCUCGAAAGCGUGGGGAGCAAACAGGAUUAGAUACCCCAGUAGUCCCUGAGCGGGCUGGCAAGGCGCAU